rnacentral:rRNA from 1 species
GACGAACGCUGGCGGCGUGCUUAACACAUGCAAGUCGAACGGUAAGGCCCUGCUUUUGUGGUGUGCUCGAGUGGCGAUCGGGUGAGUAACACGUAAGUAACCUGCCCUGUACUUUGGGAUAACUUCAGGAAACUGUGGCUAAUACCGGAUAGUAGCUCCUGCUGCAUGGUGUGUGUUUGAAAGUUUCGGCGGCUUGGGUAGGACUCGCGGCUUCUCAGCAUUUUGGUGGGGUAGUGGCUUACCAAGGCUUAGGCGGGGAGCCGGACUGAGAGGGUGACCGGCCACAGUGGGACAGAGAUACGGGCAAGACGCAUACGGGAGGAAGCAGUGGGGAAUAGUGCAAAAUGGGCGGAAGGCGUAAGCAGCAACGCCGCGUGCGGGAUGACGGCCGUAGGGUUGGAAACCGCGUGCGCCUGUGAAGAAGAGUGAGUGACGGUAAUGUAUAAAGAAGGAACGGCUAACUACGUG